rnacentral:ncRNA from 1 species
GAAAGCCGUGUGCGGGAAAACCGCAUGCACGGUUUGAUGAGGGAGGAUUGGCAAGUCUACUAUGGU